GCCGAGGUGGCGGAAUGGUAGACGCUCUGGACUUAAAAUCCAGUGCUGCCAAUAGCAGCGUGAGGGUUCGAGUCCCUCCCUCGGCA
rnacentral:tRNA from 1 species